rnacentral:rRNA from 1 species
UAGUAACGGGGCGAUGAAGCGGCAACAGCUCAAAUUUGAAAUCUGGCUCCCCUUGGGGGUCCGAGUUGUAAUUUGCAGAGGGUGCUUUGGCGUUGGUGGCGGUCUAAGUUCCUUGGAACAGGACAUCGCAGAGGGUGAGAAUCCCGUUUGUGGUCGCCUGCCUUCGCCGUGUAAAGCCCCUUCGACGAGUCGAGUUGUUUGGGAAUGCAGCUCUAAAUGGGAGGUAAAUUUCUUCUAAAGCUAAAUACUGGCCAGAGACCGAUAGCGCACAAGUAGAGUGAUCGAAAGAUGAAAAGCACUUUGGAAAGAGAGUCAAACAGCACGUGAAAUUGUUGAAAGGGAAGCGCUUGCAGCCAGACUUGCCCGUAGUUGCUCACCCUAGCUAUUGCUAGGGGCACUCUUCUGCGGGCAGGCCAGCAUCAGUUUGGGCGAUCGGAUAAAGGCCUCUAGCACGUUCCUUCCUUCGGGAUGGCCAUAUAGGGGAGGUGUAAUGCGAUCAGCCCGGACUGAGGUCCGCGCUUCGGCUAGGAUGCUGGCGUAAUGGCUGUAAGCGGCCCGUCUUGAAACACGACCCAAAGGAGUAA